GUUGGGAAGUUGAUUGGUGAAAGAGAUACAGGGCUGGAGAAGGGGGAAUCUGAUAGAAGAGGACAGAAAGCUAAGGAAGAAAGAAAAAGGGGAAUGCCAGAGGGAGGUGAUGGACAGGCAUGGAGACAAGAUGAGAGAGGGAAAAAGGGAUGGGGAAUGGUGAAGGUGGGCACUCCUGCCCCUCCCUCUGGUGCUUCUCCACCUUUUCUUUUCUCUGUGGCCUUCUAUUCUUCUCUAUUAGAUUCUCCUUUCUCCAGCUCUGAUAUCUUUUUCACCAGUCAACUUCCCAGCUGUUUGCUUCACCCUUCCCAGUUUCACCUAUCACCCUGUGUUGCUCUGUUCCCCCCUCCACCAUCUAACUCUGACUUCUCAUCUUUUUUUCUCCAGUCCUGCUGAAGAGACUCGACAGAAGCAUCUAGCAUUUACUCUUUUCUAUAGAUGCUGCCUGUUGAGUUCCUCCAGGAUUUUGUGUGUGUUUACGUAAAUGGUUGAUAAACACCCAUAAUAGGUCAUUCAAACAAAACAAAACUUCAGUUUUUAAAAGAAUGCCAAUUUUCACAAAAUGAUGAAUAGCAGUCUUUUGCGUAGCUUUGCUUUCCAGGGUUUCAUGACUUUCAAAUUAGCCUUAAAAUGUAUUCAAAGUUACAUUUGCUGCUUCUUUAAUAAGACUUUGGCGAUCACUUAAACAGUCAUAAUUGUCAAAAUGCAUAAUGAUAGUACAAGAUUAUAAAAACAGAUGCAGUGGAGAAAGUAAUUUUCACCUCUGAAGCCACAUCCACUUCAAUACUUGGAGUUUUACCAACAGCUAGUGCCAUGAAACUUGUAUAGGGUAGAAAACAAAUGAAGCUAGAAUAAAAUACUCUGGCUUGACAAAUGUGUGAUUAAAGAUUCAGCAGUAGAUGAAAGCUGAGAUUUCACAAAGAAAUCAAAUGUUAAUAAAGAGGACUUGAUAGUCUUUGCAGUGUGACAUGCAUAGUCAGGAGCUUGGGGCCAGUUCAAACAGAAUCCUGAGAUUGGAAAUAGUAAGACUGAGCUUGACACAGUGAUCAGACUUGGGAGAGAGAAUCAUUAAUGAUUGUAUAAAGCAUGUAGUCAGGUCUGAAAAUGGCUUGCUUUUCUCAAGGAACAUACACAAAAUGCUGGAGAAAAACAGUACAGUCCACGUUUCGGGCUGAGCCCCUUCAUCUCAAUGUUCUUCAAUUGAAGAAAGUUGCACCUCCUCCAAAGCAAGAUAUAGAAAUAGAAACAUGACACGAGAGUCAUCAGAGAUUGAAAACCGAAUACAUGAUUGUAGUCAAAGUUGCCUAAAGGCAACUCACACAAGAGGAAUAUGGUAGAGAAGGAGGUGGUAACAGGAUGAAGGUGGGAGUAGAUGUGAUUCUUGGAGAUGGUCUGGAUGAUGAUAAUGCCAGACUCAAGUUAAUUGUUACACUGGAGGAAAGUACUGUGGUGUGUUUUAUUUAUUGAAGUAGUAGUCUGAACAGCAGGAAAAGUAAAACCAACCAGAGCAUGGACUAGGUGAACCAUCUAAUAGCAGCAAGAUGGGAGGAAGAUUCAAAUAUUGUGUACUUAUAUGAACAGUGUUUUACACAUGUCAACAUUAGUCAGUGGUAGCACCAUCAGCUCAUAUUUAGCUUUAGCUUGCAAGGACCUUGGUUCAAAUGUCUAGGCUGAAUAUUCCAAUGCAGUUCUGUGAGAAUGUUGGACUUCUAGAAAAUGGGGUUUAAAUAAAACCUUUGCAGACAGGCAUGUAAGACAACAUAUCACUAAGAAUAGGAGAGCUUGACACAUGCUAAAAUUUAAUCUCAACCAACACUUAAAGUACAUUUUCACAUAAUACUUCAAAAAUAUGUUGUUCAUUCAAAACUGCUUCGGGAAUCCAAUGAGCACACACAUUCUAACUUUAUUCUUUUACUAUUAUUUAUAAUAAAUGCCAAAAUUGAUAACUGGCAACAAUUACAAAAUGUAGGGAGUCAUUAAUUCUUCUUUGAUAGGUAAGCAAUGUCUCUGCAUUUGAUAAUCUGCUGUGUAUCACUGAUGCAAAUAGAGCAAAUAUUUGCUUUGGUUUGCUAGUUUCGAUGCAUUGUCUCUACUGAACAGAAAGCUCUGUAUUUGAAACGUGAAACAAUCAAUCAACUCUGCAGAGGUAUCCGAAACUUUGUAACUAGUUUCUGUGGUGAAUGCAAUUUUCUGAGUACAGUUGACUUCCUUUAUUACACAAUAAUCUAAUUACUGCCAAUUUUUUUUUAUCAAAUAACAUGCUGUGAUUCUUUUUAAAAAUUAUUGCCGUGGGUAUUAGCUAUUUUACAGAAACUUAAUUAAAUCCCCUUGAGAUCAGUAAUUAAUUUUUCUUCCCACAAUUAGACAAAUACCACUUUAUAUAAAUUAUGCAGAUUAUAUAUUUGAAUAAAUAUACCGUGCUUUAGGGUGACACAGUAGCGUAGUGGUUAGCAAAACGCUUUGCAGACGACCCAGGUUCAAUACCCCCUGCUGUCUGUAAGGAGUUUGUACGCUCUCCCCAUCACCGUGUGGAUUUCCUUUGGGUACUCUGGUUUCCUCCCAUAGUCCAAAGACAAACUGGUUAAUUGGUCAUUUUAAACUGUCCUGUGAUUAGGCUAGGGUUAAAUUGGGGGAUGCUGGGUGGUGCACCUUGAAGGGCCGGAAGUGCUUAUUUUGUGCUAUAUCUCAAUAAACAAACAAACAUUGGUUAAAUAAAUAAAUUUAUUAAUUUUGUUUAAAAAAUUAUUUCCAAGUUUGCUGACAAUUAAGUUGUUGGUUCAUAGAGCAAUACAGCAGGGAAAUAGAGCUUUUGGCCAAUUGGGUCCACCCAGACAUUAUUUUUACAUUAAUCCUAAUCUAACCCACUUUAUUCUCCACAUAUUUCGAAACUCUCACAUGGACUCCUUCCAUCCUGCGCACGGACUGUUUGAACUGCUUCCGUCUGGUAGGCGCUUCAGAUCCCUCCAGACUAAGACUAAUAGGCACUGGAGAAGUUUUUUCCCUACUGCGGUCACUUUGCUGAACAGUAAACUGCCGGUUAACUGUCGGCUAACUAUUACUUGGAUUGCACUACUUGUAUGUAUAAUCUAUAUUUUCAUUUAUAUUUAACAUAAUUAUUGUUAUGAGCAGAGAGACAACAUCUGCCGGAAGUAAAUUCCUUGUAUGUGCACAGGUACUUGGCGAUUAAAGUCUGAUUCUGAUUCUCCUCUGACAACCACUCACCUGCAUACUCAGUACAAUUAUUCUACCAACCCACACGGGAGGAAACUGGAGCAUCUGGAAAAGUCACCCAUGGUCACAGGGGAAAAAAUUGCCAACUCCACACAGACAGAAGUGGAGGUCAGCAUUGAGCAUGGAUUCUUAGUGCUGUGAGACAGCUUGAAAAAUGCAAGAUGUUAAAUUGACAAAUUAACCAGUAUAGGAAAAUAUCAGGUAUCAAUUUUUGGAGAGGUGAAAGAUGUCAAAACAGGACAGAGAGACCACAAGACCAAAAGACAUAGGAGCAGAAUUAGGCCAUUCAGCCUUUUGAAUCUGCUCCGGCAUCCCACCCUGGCUGAUUUAUUACCCCUCUCAACCCCAUUUUCCUGCCUUUUCCCUGUAACCUUUGACACUCUGGCUAAUCAAGAAUCUGUCUAUCUCCACUUUAAACAUACCCAGUGUCUUGGCCUCCACAACUGUCUGUGAUAUUAAUUCCAUAGAUUCACCACCAUCUGGUUGAAAAAAUUCCUUCUUAUCUCUGUUCUAAAGGCAUGACCUUCUAUUCUAAGGCUAGCCCAUUGGACCUAGACUAACCCACUAUAUGAAACAUGCUCUCCAGGUCCACUUUAUCUAGGCCUUUCAAUAUUCAGUUGGCUUCAGUGAGAUCCCCCUCAUCUUUCUCAUCACCCUCCAUCAAUGGUAGUGUCAUCGGAGAAUUUGUACAAAGCAUCGAAGCUGUGCCUAGUGACACAGUCAUGCGUAUAGAGUGUGAGCAGGAGGCUUAGCAUGCAGCCUUGAGGUGCACUUGAGUCAGUGAGGAGGAGAUGUUACCACUCUUCAGUGAUUGGCACCUGUCAAAGAGGAAGUCGAGUAUCCAGUUGCAGAGGGAGUUACACGAGUCCAGACUUUAAAACCUGAUGAUAUCUUUGGAUGGGAUGAUUCGGUUAAACACUUGUCACACAGUGGGAAAGGUUUCCUCACUAAUGUAAUGGUUUUUCUGUAGCAGCAGUGUUUGGGUUACAGCUAGAGAUAAUGGGGGCUUUGGAAUGUGCACCAUCCAGUGAAGGGAGUGUUUUUUUCUUCUUGCAUGCCUGAGACCGAGGUCAUCUGGGUCAUUUGUUCAGCAGGAGAUGAAGAGAGAAGAUACUAGAAAGGCGAGAUCAUAGGCACUGGAAGGGAGUGGACUUGGAGUGGGGCCGGGAUGAAGCCUGAAGAAAUUGACAGAGGACCAGCAGAAGGGAAACUAGGCAGAGGCAAUCUCAAUGUUGAAAGAUUGGCUAAGACUGUAGCCCUGUGCUUUAGGAGACAAAUGGGAAGACUUCCUGGGUAGGCCUGCUGCAGCCGAGACCUUGCUGACCCUUUCCUGACCAGUUGAAUCCAGAUAUCUUGGCAGCAGCUCUGGCAGGGUGAUUUUGAAGACCCUGAUCUGGAGUUACACGUCGACUUUGGUUCUUUGCAGAAAUGGGACCUGUUCUCGGGACCUCCCGACUGACCGCUUUUCGAUAUGCCGAAGAUGGAAAACUAGUGCGCCUGCAGUGUGCUGAAUUUUUGUGGCUUUAUAGGUUGGUGGAUUCAAGGCUGGUGCUGCCGUCACCUGAUGCAUCAUGGGAAAUGGAAGAUCGUAAGCAGCUAGCGGGCUGAUGGCUGUGUGCCAAGAGACUCGAGUUCCUUGAGCACAGAGCUCAGAAGAAGUGACGUAACAGACUUUUAACAUCAUAAAUCAUCUAGAUCGGGGGUCGGCAACCUGUGGCUCCGGAGCCGCAUGCGCUCUUUCAUCUCUGUGCUGCGGCUCCCCGUGGCUUUGGAAAAUAAAUGAGGGGAGGUGCUGAAACACUUUGUCGCAUGUCUGGAAGAAGUGAAAACUUUCCUGGGCAGCAAAGGGCUCACCUUUCCUGAGCUGGAACAGCCAAAGUAGCUGGAAAAUCUACACUUCAUGGUAGACAUGACAGCGCACCUGAACACGCUGUACACAGCUCUUCAGGGGAAAGGACGUACAGCCCUGCACAUGUUGGAGGAUGUUUUGGCAUUCGAGUGCAAGUUGACAGUGCUUGCCAGAGAUUUACAGAAAGGCACAUUGUCUCACUUCCCCAAUUUGAGAGAGUUCAAACAAGGUCACGACAUGAUAAAUUCGGAGUAUUUACAUUCUGCAAUCAUCGCAAGGCAAACAUCAUUUGGGAAACACUUCUGUGAGUUCAGAGAGGAAAAAAAACACAUUAUCCUUCCUGGUCACACCCCUAGGCAUCGAUCCAUGCCUACUGAAUACGACUGCAUUGGCAGGUGUGAGUCAACCUGAUUUUGAGAUGGAACUGGCCGACAGAGCCGACAAAGACAUAUGGGUGUCCAAGUUUAGACGCUUGACAGCAGACCUUGAAGAUGUUGCCCGUCAGAAGGCCGUUCUUGCUCCGAAUCACAAAUGGAGUGAUAUUGAAAACCUCCCCAAACCAGACAAACUUGUGUUCGAAACAUGGAAUGCUAUCCCCGACAUUUAUGUAAACAUUGAAAAGUAUGCGCUUGGAGUCCUGUCGAUCUUUGGAUCCACAUAUGUAUGUGAGCAGGUGUUCUCCAACAUGAACUUUAUUAAAAACAAACAUCGCGCACGCCUCACAGAUGACAGCUUGCGAUCCUGUGUAAAGAUGAAGGUGACGUCGUACAGCCCUAAUGUGCAGACACUGUGCGCUGAGGUCCAGGAGCAGAAAUCCCAUUAACCAAGUAUGAUAAAUAUUUUAAUUGCCUAUUAUUUUACGUAUAUUCAUAUUUUUUCAUUGUUCAGUGAAAUAGUCCUUUUAUUUUUCAGGUUGACAGCUGGCUGACGUUAUUUGUGGUUUGCUGCUGGCGGAAAAUUUAAGUUUGGUGCUUUUCAUAAAUACAAGAAGGACUCAAAUAGACAUUGAGUAUUUUACUUAAAAACCAUUCUCUAUAACAUCCAGAGAUUGUUGGGCAUGAACGUCCCAGGAGAUCAGCAGUUUCUGACAUACUCAAACCACUCCACCUGGCACCAACAAUCAUCCCACAGUCAAAGUCCCUCAGAUCACAUUUCUUCCCCAUUCUGAUGUUUGAUCCAAACAACAAUUGAACCGCUUGACCAAGCAUGUAUUAAGUUGCUGCCACAUGAUUUGCUGAUUAGAUAUUUACAGUAAUGAGCAGGUAUAUCUAAUAAAGUGGCCUCUAAGUGUAUAUUAACCAUAAGUAUGCAAGAAAAUAGGAGCAGGAGUGGCUCUUCAGCUCCUCAAACCUAACCCAUGAUUCGAUAUGGUCAUGACUGAUUUUCUCAAGACUUUAUCUCUUCUUCUGUGCUAGUUUGGAUUAUUGUACAAGCCUCACCUUUUGAUUCCAUUAUAUUUCCUUGUUCUACUGUGACUGCAAAAAUUGAACCCCAGGGUAGCAUAUGGUGACAUAUAUGUACUUUGGUAAUAAAUUUACAUUGAAUAUUGAAUCUUGAACUGGAUUUGUUGUCUGUUAUAUAGUCCCGAUUGUGAGGGGCUUCUUUACCCGCAUGUCAAUGCCCACCAAGCUGGGUCAGGUAUGGGACUGCUCUCUUGCAUACCUCCCUUAUCUUUGGCAGUUUUCUUCAUUUGCCCAUUUCCCUCUGUUCCUCUCCCAGUUCAGCCUUGGUUAACAUUGCUAACUGGUUUUUGACGUUUUUAUGGAUUUUUUGCCCCAAUUGUCUCUGACUUCUUAAUUGUCAAACAAUUGCCUGAUUUCAGCAUUAGUGGGCUUCAUGCAAACAUCCAGAUCUCUUAUUGAAAUUCUCAGUAACAGCGACAAUAUGACUUCAAAAUGGUGUGCAAAAUGGUACAUUUACUUGGAGCAGUUAACCACUUGAAUGUGACCUGCAUUUACUUCAAAAGAUUGUGACUCAAGAUGCUGAUAUCAGCCUAUAAUGUCAAAUAAUGAAUUGCUCCUUACCCUUUUCAAUUGACCAGAUUGAAUUUAAUUGAUAGCAUAUAAAUCAGAAUUAAUGCUCCUCUCAUGAUCUUGCUCACAAAUUAAAAAAAAAUGAUUACCUUGAAUAAAUAAACUCUUCUCCAAUCACCGGAGGUUGAUUGAUAAAGCACUAAAAUUGUGCAACUCACAUUUUGAAGCUUGUGUAUUAUGUGUUGCUCUUACAUAAUUUAAGAUUAUGGUUGUCAUCUAUUGCAGUUCUGUGUAUCACCUACUUCUGGUACUCAUUAUAUGUAAUUAGAAAUGGAACAGAUGGACUUGAGAAACAUCUGUAUAUAAUAGAAGAUGGUUAUAAAAGUUGUAAAUAUAAUUGUAAUUACAUGUAUCUGUAAUUGCACUAGAAAUGUGAUGUUCAUUAUCCCACCAAGAGCCUUAAAUAUCACAAGAAAAGGAAUGCUUCUGAAAGUUAGGGAGACAGCAGGGUUAAUUUUAACCCUCACAUCAGUAGAAGCUCAAUCACGCAAAUGGUUCCUGGCAGCCGGUUAAGAAACAUCUCUGAUAAAGGCUCAGGCAUAUAUUUCGCUUUCAAAGCUCCCAAGGAAAAUACAUGAAUUGUUUGUUUUAACCUGCUGCUGAAAGAUGGUGGAGACAAAAAAAACUUAUUUUUAUCUUAAAUGUGAAUCAGAUUUCUGCUGUGUAACAAAAAGCAGCAAUGAUAAUGGCUUACGAUUUGAUUUUCUACCAUCCAAUCAAGGAAUUUCACAGGCAUCACCAAUGGCAAAAACUUGACAGAGCCACACAUGGAGGUUUCGUGAUGAUGAAGUGCUUGGACAAUGAAGUAGGUUUUCAGGAAUGUUCUAAAGGGAAAUAGAGGCACAAAAAGUGUGGAGAAAUUUAGUGAAGUCACCAAGCUGGAAUGUUGCUUCAGUUUCUCUCUCCACAUAUGCUCCCUGGCCUGAUAAAUAUUUUCAACCUACGUCUGUUUUCAUUCCAAGUAUGAGGGACUUUGAUCAUUUGAGGCUACAGAGAAGUGAAGAAAAAAACAACCUGAAGGGAAUGUCUUCAACAGCAAACGUAAUAAUGUCUCCACCAUGGGAACAAAAUUUAACUCUACAGCACCAUGGCUUCAAAAAUUCAAGACCCACUUUAUUGUGAUUGUCAACAAAGAGCUGUGACAGCAGAAAGGAAAGUGAGAAUGAUUUUUGUAGCACAAGUCUGCAGGAAUGAAAUCCUAGAUCUAUGUAUCUUUCGACCAGAAGGGUAUUCUUCUGGGGCAUACAGAGCAGGCACGCUGCCUGAAAGAUUAACACGUCAAUGGGGAGGUCUGUGUGACUAAUAUGACUACUUUCCUGUUGUGGGUUGAGAGCAAAUUUCUCCUUGCUACUUGGAGAAUUAAUUUACUUGUCAUUUAACAUUUAUGGUGAUUUUAAAACCUUAACACCAAUGCAGGUGAACACUCUGACUAAAGUUAUGGCUGGUGAAUAUAGAAUAAUAAUAUACAGAGUGUGGAGCCUGUCAGCUGCAGAAGUUGAAAUGGAAAAGGAAAAACUUGGGAAGGGAAGAACUUGGGCAACGUUUCAACCGCUUUGUCCACAUACACUGACGACUACUACCUUUUUUUCUGAAGUAUUUGGAGCCUAUUAAUUCAUCUUAAUGAGGUUGGGUAAGUGGCUCUUGCCAUGCUGAAGGGAAUACAAAUAACCUUUCUCUUCCCCAGAAAUAUUCAGUAUCUGAAAGGUACUGAAAAUAGCCUGUAGUGAAAGCUUAGAGAUAUAAUUUACAAUCCAGUCAUUGUCAACCACCAGUAUUGGGAUAGCUACUCUUUAAAUGUGACAGAUAUUUUCCAUAAUGCCCUGUGAAUAUCAAACUCAAUGGACUCAAGAUUUGACUGUGCUAUAUAAUGAACUCUCUCGUCUGCCUGCUGUCCUGGAGUUGGAGCUGUUAUUAGUAGUGCUGCAUAUCUGCUAUUUCAAACCAGGUUUAAGGAUAGUGCCACCUGUGUUAAAUGACUGCAUUUCAUUGUGAAAGGUGAAUGGGGGUAUAGGUAUUUCCUGACAGUGCCUACAUAGUGGCACAAUGAGAAUUAAUUUGCUACAAUUACUUCACUGGUUUGAGAAGACAGCUCAUAACUGUCUUUCUUCCAAAAAAUUAUGAAUGGAUAUUUAACGUUGUGGCAGAUAGUGGUGUCUCUGCCUUCAGGUGUGAGUAUCAAAGUCUUAUAUUGGUCAAGGUAAUUGAUAGGAGGGCCUUGUUGAUUGCCUCGGUGGUAUUAUCGCCUCUAGGUAUUAUCUCGAUAGCCUAAGUGAAGACGUGACAGAGGGAAAUGAAUGCUAGUACUUAGUAAGUUGCUGCAAAGUCCUUAAAAGAUUAAUUGUCUCAUACAAAAUGGCGACACUAGAGCCUUCAUCAUAUAAACCCUCUUCGCUUCUGCUUUCUCCAGCAGUGGCUGCACCACAAUUAGCUAUGUCUCAUUCAUUCAUGUAGCCCUCCACUGAGUCUUAUUUGUUCAUGUUGGCCCACCUACACCUCCCACAUCACAUAUUUGAGCAUGACAGGCUUGUGAACAAAACACACACUUUGUAUGCAUACGCUCUUUGAUGAAGGCAAGCUCGAAUAGAGCAAGGGGCAUGCAGAAAUAGCAGAAGAAGCUGAUUCCAUCAGACAAGCUCUCCACUACAGUGCAAACAUUUUGAAAUCCUGGUUCUAAUUUUGAAUUCUGUUUCUUUAAAAAAAAAUCCUCACAGUUUGGAAUAAGAGCAUCAUUUUACUAGUAUGUUUUCUUCCUUGAAAGAAUUGGUCUUUUAUAGAUGUAAAACACACUGUCAGUACUAUUGAAAUACCAGUUGGCAAACAUUAUUAUACAUAGGAUUGGAAUUUUUAUUCAGCUUCUGUGAUUCAUUGGUUUAUGAUUUCUUAUAUUCAAUUUUUGCUUUCACAACCAAACUUCAUAGACUUCAGAAUCUUCAAUGAAGUGUUGUCACAUCUUUUGAGUUGGCCAUCCUCCCAGAGCAGAAAAUCUUUCUGAAUUUUCUGAAUCAAUGAUGUGAUGCACAAUCAUUUAUCAUGACUCUAGUUUCUGACACAAUCUCUUUCCUUUACUUUGUUUCUUUCCAAUUUAUAUGGAAGUCUGUUUAUAUAGCUGCUGAAAGGCCGUCAAAUUUAUCUUGCUCUGUGCAUUGAUCUGAUUUUUCUUCUAAUUGCAUUAAUAAAUGUGUUCUGCACUGAUCCUAAUAAGUACAAUUCCUUGCUACAAAAUGAUUUCUCUAUUUCCAGUGCUAUGUUUUCAGAGAUCAGCAAUGUUAGCUCAUACACAGUAUUCAUCAUGUGAGGCAUAAUUAAAUAUGCUUUAGGAGUGAAUUGAGGUGUAAACUUGGAUGCAGAAUGCACAUUGAAACCGUGGUUACAUUAUGAGCAGGCCCAGAAAUUUUGAAAUCCUGGUGUAAUGUAACAGGCCUAGGCCCAAUGCCCAGAAGAUGUCAGGCAAUUAACAUGAAUGAACAUGCAAGGCACUUUUGUCACCGCUAUUACCACAUGAGGCCAUGAUUACAUGAUGAAGAGCAGCUGCAAAUGAAUUAAACCCUUAUUGAUAAAGUAGGUCCAAAGGACUACUGUAAUUUUUGUGUGGGGUUGUGGGGGGAAUGGAAAAAGAGAGUACGAAAUGUGGGGGGGACUGUUGGGAAAGCCAUUAUGAAUCUGAUUUCUGAUCAUUAUACAAAGUCUUUGUUUUUGUUUUGGUGAUUGUGGCCCAAAAUGCUCAGUCCUUUCUUCAACUCCAAC